UACGUAGGGGGCAAGCGUUGUCCGGAUUUAUUGGGCGUAAAGAGCUCGUAGGUGGUUCGGUAAGUCGGAUGUGAAAUCUCCAGGCUCAACCUGGAGGGGUCAUUCGAUACUGCCGUGACUAGAGUUCGGUAGGGGAGUGUGGAAUUCCUGGUGGAGCGGUGAAAUGCGCAGAUAUCAGGAGGAACGCCCGUAGCGAAGGCGGCACUCUGGGCCGAUACUGACACUGAGGAGCGAAAGCGUGGGGAGCGAACAGG
rnacentral:rRNA from 1 species